AAUAAGGCCCGGCUGGGCCCGACGCGCGUGCGCGCGGGCGAGGGCGGGGCCGGAGGUGGGUGCUUCUGCCCGUUAGCUGGGCGGCUGCUCCGCGCCCCGCCCGCUGGCUCACCUGCCGGGACUGGCCGACAUACCCGCUCGGCGCGAAAUUCCCGGGGAGAGGGUGCGUAGGGGGACGCGCUUAGGGUUGGCGACAAAGGUGAGUGACCUGCCCGCGUGUGCAAAGGGUCUCCCCAGAGGCAGGCGGGAAGGCUGCCCCGGGAGUCGUACAGUCCGAAUCCUGCGAUUAGCAUGGCUUAUUUUUGUAGCAAGCGUUAAAAACGGCUUUAAACAUCCUCACUUCUGGAUCCGCGCGGCUCCCCCCAGUGUUCCUGUGUCGACCCCCAGCCGCGCUCCCCUGUGCUGUAGUCACUGGCCACGUGUGCUCAUUUCAAUUUACGUUAACUGAAGUUAAAAUUCAGUUCCUGCGCUAUCACAGAGGCAUUAAAAGCCACCCUGAUGAAGGGUUAGGAACGCCCUGAAAACGCUCUUUUUUAAUGGCUGGAGUGCAAAGUCCCUGCGUUUUCCAGAACGUGGGAAGGUUAGCAUCACUCAGCUUUCCUGGAGUUCCUUUGACUUGGGAGAGAGUACAAACAGGCCUUGCUGUUUGAUUGAAAGGUGCAUUGGGGGCCCAGGGGGUGGUGAGUGGGGUCACCUGCCCUGCCCAGGCCGGGGCACUUGUGAGGCAUCCUGUUCCUGCCCCAGGACUCCUGGAGGAAGCGCUGCAGCCGUGGUGGCGUUGGGCACAUCCCCACAUCUCCCUGUGCUCUGUCUCCCCACCUGCACCGGGCAGUCAGGGGGACCCAGAGGGUGGCUGAGGCUGGCUGUUCUCAGACCAGGGAAGGCACGUACGAAGUUUCCUCGUGUGUGGUGUCACUGCUCUGGCAGCUGGCAGCUGCGGGAGACUCCGGUGCCCAGUGAAAGGCUGCGGGGUCUGCGGAUGCUCCCUCAGGAGACAGAGAAAGCAGAAAACAAAUGCCUUCUUCAAGACCAAGCCGUGAACCUGUGUUCAUACUUAGGUAGGAAGACCACUGAAGGCCAUUUCCCAGACUGGGAAGUUUCAAGCAAACUUCAUUUCAGGGAUGUUAUAAUUGAGAGAGUUAUCGCUUUCAUUCUGUUUUCAAUAAUAUAGAGUGUACUCAAGCAAGUGAUGAAGAAGUCACUGUUUUUAAAGAUUAAACUAUUGAGCCUAUGUCAGUGCAGCUAUUUUAUUAUCUGGUAAAUACAAGAGCAGGUGUGUCUGGUCUGUGCAUAUCAUUUAUUUGAGUUUCCCUGUCCUCACGUUCCGGAAGUAAAUGCCCAUAAAGUCAAAGGGAGAGGGCUUCCCUGGUGGCGCAGUGGUUAAGAAUCCACCUGCCAACGCAGAGGACACGGGUUUGAUCCCUGGUCCGGGAAGAUCCCACGUGCCACGGAGCAACUAAGCCCGUGCGCCACAGCUGCUGAGCCUGCGCUCUAGAGCCUGUGAGCCACAGCUACUGAGCCCAACUACCGAACCCCACGUACCUAGAGCCCGUGCUCUGCAACAAGAGAAGCCACUGCAAUGAGAAGCCCACGUGCCACAAGGAAGAGUAGCCCCGCUCGCCGCAACUAGAGAAAGCCCGCGUGCAACAACGAAGACCCAACACAGCCAGAAAUAAAAUAAAUUUUUAAAAUUAAUUAACUUUAAAAAAAUGUUAAAGGGAGAAAGCUCAGAAGGAUGCAGGAGGCAGACCAGGCCAGGUGGUGCUGCCGCACAGUUGGGGUGAGCUGUGGCCGCUGGCCUUGGAGUCUGGGCACCCCAGACUCCCCAGUCUGAGUUUCCACUGCUGCGUGGCCUCCACGUAUUUCUGCCACAGGACCUCAGGCCUGGCAUGUGAACCUGCGCUCACCUUUUCUGCCUCCGCAGCAUUGGGCUCUGCCUGGCUGACAGGAUGGAUUAGUUCCUCCUGGGGUCUGGGGUGGUGAUUUCUCCCCUGUGCUCCCAAGGGGAGGGGAGCUUCCACUCUUGGUUUACUACAGAGGAGGGUAAACCAGGAGAGACUGUCAUCGUGGGCCCAAGGAUGCUGUGGGGUUGUCAUGCCCCACCCUCUACUUGGGCUCCACCACACACAGCCCCUGACCAGACUGGAAGCAGGACCACGGCAGGCCCGGCUUACCCAGCAAUACCCUGGCCCUCCCUUCCUCCACUCUGCAGGCCCUGAGGCCCAGGACCUCCUGCCUGGGGGAGGGUGGCACACGCACUAAGAAUUACAGAACCGUGCAUGGGUAAAAGGUGUGUUUAAGCUCAGGACAGACCAUUCAACCCGUGGAAGAGUAUGAAAGGUUUAUUGAUAUGGUUUCAGAUUCACAGUGCAGCCAACCUUUAAGAAACUACCCCUCAUCUAGCUUUGGUUUAGUAUUAAAGACCAAGCUAUUGAAAUAGUUUCUUUUUCCAACCAUAUAUCUGUGUGUGGCUAGAUUUUUUUCUCAUAUGCUUCAACCAUUCUCACUAAUUCUUUUCUUUUUUAAGGAAACCUCACUUUUUCAUUUUAAAAUGUUAACAUGUAAUGGGUGUAUCAUUUUUUAGUGAAUUACUGUUUUUUUUAAUAAAUUUAUUUAUUUUAUUUAUUUUUGGCUGCGUUGGGUCUUCAUUGCCACGCGCGGGCUUUUCUCUAGUUGCAGAGAGCGGGGGCUUCUCAUUGUCGUGGCUUCUCUUGUUGCGGAGCAUGGGCUCUAGGCGCACAGGCUCAGUAGUUGUGGCGCACAGGCUUAGUUGCUCCGCGGCAUGUGGGAUCUUCCUGGACAAGGGCUCGAACCCGUGUCCCCUGCAUUGGCAGGCGGAUUCUUAACCACUGCGCCUCCAGGGAAGCCCCUGAAUUACUGAUUUUUUAAAGUAUGUAUUUGGCCGUGCCGGGUCUUAGUUGCAGCAUGCAGGAUCCAGUUCCCUGACCGGGGGUCGAACCCGGGCCCCCUGCAUUGGGGGCGUAGAGUGUUAACCACUGGACCACCAAGGAAGUCCCUGAAUUACUGGCGGGUUUUUUGUUUGUUUUAAUUUUUGGCCGCGCCACAUGGCUUGCGGGAUCUUAGUUCCCUGACCAGGGAUCGAACCUGCGCCCUCAGCAGUGAAAGUGCGGAGUCCUAACCACUGGACUACCAGGGAAUUCCCUGAAUUACUGUUUUUUUAAUUUCUGCGUUUUAAUUCCCAGUGUGGUCCCUGUCGACCCGAAUAGCCCACAUAAACAGAGCUCUUUGGGGGUCCUCCAUAAACUUUAAAAUUAUAAGAGGUCCCUGAAUCCAUAAAGUUGGGGAAGUUUUCUCAGAAAUCCUAGUACAUCCAUGAAAUAGAUGAUUGUCCAACGCUUGAAGCGAUGUUUGUGAGGACGUAGGGCAAGUGCGAACACAUCACUGUGCGCGUCUCAGGGGUCUGAACUCGGGCUCACUUCAGCACCUCUUGAGGGGUAGGUCCUCUCCAGGGGAAGGAGUUUGGUGGAUCAGGAUUUUUGUCUUUAUACUGUGUAGUCUGCAGUGAGCAUGUAUUAUGUUUGUAACCAGAAAAAAUGUUAACGUCGUAAGAUAAUGCCUACUCUGUUUUCCUCAUAGUGGACCUGGUGAAGGUUAAAAACUUUUUUUUUUUUUUUUUUGCGGUACGUGGGCCUCUCACUGUCGUGGCCUCUCCCGUUGCGGAGCACAGGCUCCGGAUGCGCAGGCUCAGUGCCCAUGGCUCACGGGCCCAGCCGCUCCGCGGCAUGUGGGAUCUUCCCGGACCGGGGCACGAACCCGCAUCCCCUGCAUUGGCAGGCGGACUCUCAACCACUGCGCCACCAGGGAAGCCCGGUUAAAAACAUUUUAACGUGCUUUAAAAAAUCAUAAACUACCAUAUGUAACAUAAGGUUGUAUUGACUAACAUGCAUUUUCUCACAGGGCAGGGCCUGGGUGUUCAAAUCCAUCACUGUUCUCUGGAGUGAGACACACAGAUGUAAUAAGCACUCGCUAAACUCACGUUGAAUACACAAAUUAGUGCAUGGAUGUUUUAAAGUUACGAAUUAUGUACCUACAGCUGCUGCCUGGGAUUGACUUGUGUCCUCCAGAGAUGUGGUGACAUCACAAGUCCCAGGACCUCAGAAUGAGCCCUUAUUUGGAACUAGGGUUGUUGCAGGUAUAAUUAGUGAAAUAACGAGGUCGUGUUGGAUUGGGGAUCCCUAAUCCAGUGACUGGUGUCCCAUAGGGACAGACACACAGAGGGAGAGGCAGAGACACAUGUGCUGCGUCCACAAGCCAAGGAUAGCCGGUGUCCAGCAGAGCCCAGGCUCAAGUUCCCAAUACCUGGGGAGGCCCCCACUGCGUGGAGGCUGGCACUGCUCAUCACAGCGCCAGCCGCCUGCAGGGGAUAGAAGUCCAAACACUUCGUUCCUGGCAUCCUGACAUCCAGGUCGCCAAGGAGCGCGCGAGGCAGCUGAGCACCGACAGGACAAGCUUUACUCAGGAGAGAAGAGACCAGGUCGGCUUCCGCCGUGGGCCUCGUCCCCACGCGGGGUCCUCCCCACCCUGCUGGCCUGCACGCACCCAUCUUGUGCUGCAGGAAGGACCUGACCCCUCCUGAGGAGUCUGACAUGCUGAGCGCUGGGGGUGCGUCCAUCUCAUAACCGGAGGGAGGUCCCCACACAGGCUCUAGGGGCCCCCAUCUAUUGAGAAGAAACGGUGCCGUUUGUAAGUGGCCCUUUGUGGGCGGAGAGACGGCCUUUCCCCGCAGCUGAAGCUGGGAGGGCUGGUCCUGGUCCUCCCCUCCCCUCCAGUCCCGACAGACGUGGCCUGGCAGCACCUGACUUCCAGCUGAAAGGAGACACCUCUGUGGUUUCAAGGCCCCCAGUUUGUUGCACACGUUACAGUCGAGAAAACUAAUACAACUGCCAAAGAGCCCAAUAAUUUUUCCUCAGCAGCAAGAGAAGCAGCUGCAGUUCGUACCGUCCCUUCUACUCAGCCACACCCGAGCUCGGCUCGGCAAAGACGUGUGAGGGGCUGGAGGGAGGCCCCGCUGCGACAGGCGUCUGUCUGUGCUCCCACCUUGCCUGCCUCGCUGGACACCACUGCUGCCCCCAGGCACCGAGCCAGCACCCACUGUGUCCAGAACUCAUAGGGUCAUCAAGGCAGAGUGUCUGAGGUUUUGAUACCUGUCCCCAGAGUCUGUGACAUUCCUCCUUUCCAAAGGUGGGGCCUCACCCACCCCACCCCCGCCUUGAGGGUAGGCUGUUCUUAAUGACUCACUUCUGCUUCCGUGACUAGUUCACCCCCACGUGAGCCAGCCGACUUGGAAGAGGGUACUCCAAGCCCACGCAGCCUCCAGACAACCUCCACUGAUGUCCUGACUGCAGCCUCCUGAGAGGCUCUGUGCCAGAACCACCCAGCUCCUGGAGUCCUGACUCAACAGAAACGAUGUUUGUUGUUUUCAGCCACUGCUUGGACUCACUUGUUACACAGCACUAGGUAACGAAUACAGCUCUGACUGGCUUCCCAGGAGUCCCCCGUUUGUUUGCUGCUCUUUGUUAAGGAGAAGCGUGAUUGCUUUUCUGCAAAGGAUUCCCCAUCAUCUCCCAACCUCAGAGGCUCCAUAUGGUGACUGUCCCUCAGUGCCUUACCAGGGCCGCCUAAGAGAUUUCUGAUGUCUCCACCUUACUGGAGGCUGUGUGUCCUGGGUUCUGACUUUCCCACCUCUCCCUGGACAGGGGAAGGUGGGGAGAUGGUCCCCAUGUUGGGGCCAGAUCUGUCUGUGAACCGUCAGCUGCCCAACGGGGUCCACAGAGUGAUGGGACACACCCUGGGAUUCUAGGACCACCCCCCAUCCAAGCAAGACCCACAGCCGUGGUGAGAAGGGCAGGCCCCAGACCUCAGACCCUGAUCUUCCUCUGCAGCGGCAAGCUGAGAGCCCGGCCCACAGGAGGGCGCAGCCCUGGGGGAGCUGGGGCGGCCCCACCUGCAGCGGAGGUCCCAGCCUCCCCCCUCCCACCCCCACUGUCUCCUGGGGCUCCGGAGGGGAAAGUGGGCUUGCGUGCUGUUUAUAUGCUCUUUUCUUAAAAUCGCCAUCGUCAUGAGAACUGUUCGCAGUUGUGGUGAUGACACACAAGGGUGGGGUUUCCAGGGGGACGCUUGCACAGGCAGUGGCCUCGCAGCUCAUCUGACCCCACAGAUGCAGGACACACGCUGGGAGAGUUCAACCGUUUCUUAAACACACGCAUUUGUUUAAAUUGUUCAUUUGAUUUAAUUUUUGAGUUCACUUUUACUACGUGGAUGAGAUGGGCUGUAUUACACUAGGGCUUCCGCUAUGAAAGAGCUGCCACCGCUCAGAGAAAUCCAACCCUCAGGCCCUUUCCGCUCCCCUUUCUGAGUCCCACAGAAGCCACCGGUGGGCACUGCUGGGUUCCAGUCCUGGCUUGUCACUCCCUUGGGGGCUGUCUCAGUGGGGACAGGGAUGGGGGGCACAGGUCCCAACUUCCCCAGAAGCCCACUGCAAUGGAUCAGUACCCACCCGUGCUCCCUGGCUUGGCUCUGGGAGGUCACCAGCAGUGUCCCCAUAGGUUUCUGUAGAAUGAAAGCCAGGGGCACUGAGGGCUGCAAUCAUCUGGUUUCUGAGGCACUGGCUCUGGGUCCUUCCUGCAAGAAACACCUCAGGCUUUCCACCAAGAGGCUGGCCAGCGAGGACUCGGACCCCAGCACCCAGUCGUGGAGCUGGGCUGCCAGGGAGAAGAGGAGGCUGCUGCUGUGUCCAAGCAGGUAGCCGUCCUCAAAGGCUGGCGCUGGGGGGUCUGGAGGUCCCCCCAGACUGAGGGAGGGGGAGGAGGCCAGCCGAGCAGGGUCUUGGCAGGAGAUAGAGCCAGGCCUCCAACCUGCAGGCUGGCCAGAGUGGGCCACCAGCCAGGAAUGGAAGGACGGAGGAGGUGGCUUGGGAACCCUGUCCCCUGCCCCCCGACAUCUGAAUCUUCAGGCACUGGUCCCC